UUACGGCCAUAUCAGGUUGAACCACCGAUUCUCGUAAGAAUACAACACUUAAGCCACGUUGAGCCUGGUCAGUAAUUCGAUGGUUAAUCCCUUGGGAAUACCAGCAGCUGCAAG